GACGGAGGAUGCAAGUGUUAUCCGGAAUCAUUGGGCGUAAAGCGCCUGUAGGUUGUUUACUAAGUCUGUUGUUAAAGACUAGGGCUUAACCCUAGAAAAGCAAUGGAAACUUGUAGACUAGAGUAUGGCAGGGGUAGAGGGAAUUUCUAGUGUAGCGGUGAAAUGCGUAGAUAUUAGAAAGAACACCAGCGGCGAAAGCGCUCUACUGGACCAUUACUGACACUCAGAGACGAAAGCUAGGGUAGCAAAAGGGAUUAGAUACCCCUGUAGUCCUAGCCGUAAACGAUGGAUACUAGAUGUUGUGUUUAAUAUGCAGUAUCGUAGCUAACGCGUUAAGUAUCCCGCCUGGGGAGUACGCUCGCAAGGGUG
rnacentral:rRNA from 1 species